rnacentral:lncRNA from 1 species
GGAACUUCCUUCCUGCCCCCUCCGAGUUUUGCCUCUCUCACUGGCAGCAACCCAGCGCUUCCAUUGCUGACCUCUACCGACCUCUACCUGUGGUCCUUCCUCUACUGCAGCAGAGACACUGUUUUCUUCCUUUGUUCUUCCAACCCCAUGGCACAGAAACACUCUCCACUGCGGCCAAGGAUUGCAGGAGAGGUGGCAUCAGUGAUUCAAGACUUCUUUUCCUACCUCUUCAGUGUUUCUUUCAGUGAUCUGAAGUUAAAGCCAGGGGGAAUAUCACAGAAGUGAAGUGCAAUUCUCAUCAUGUCAUAUCAAGAGCACACACUAACAAACAACAUGACUUAUUGCUGAAUAUUGAACUUGAUCACCUGGCUGAGGUAGUGUUUGCCAGAUUUCUCUGUAAAGGUGAAUAAACUGACACUGGAACAUUCAGGAACUUCUUCAUGGUCAUGGUCACCCAGCUAGAGUGUGGAAGCCAGGCUGUCUGAUUCCAGGAUCUGUGUUCUUAAUCCUAUACAUAAGGAAGCCAUAAUGAGUCAACCACUAUUUUUAAGAUUCACAGAUGUUCGGGUCCAAUUCACCAGAAUGCCAAGUUAUACAGGGUUGUGGAAUCAAAAACUGCAAUUAGUAAUAAAAUGUGAUGCUAUCUAGAAUGUUUUUCAUACAUAUAUAUGCUUCUUGGGACUCUCCCUGCAGGUUAAGAGAAAUUGAGAAACGAUGGAGAAUUUAAGUGUUUUAGAUCCUACAUACAUUAGACUUAAAAAUAGUAACUAUGUACAUGAGUAUUUGUAAACUUAAGAAUGAACAUAACAUGAACCAUGUGGCACCUAUAAAAUGAAAAUAAAAUACCUACAAACCAAAUGAGAGCAAUAAAAGAAGCUUUAAGGACUUUCACUUCAGGGAGUCUGAAUUAGAUGCGCUUCUUCCCAUUCCUCCCUCUAAUUACAACAAGCUUGGACGUUACAUACAGAACAAACAGAAGGAGUCUCUGAAAGAUGAAGAGAAGGCAAGUAAGCUACAGACUUCACAAUGUAAGGAAUAAUAUGGUGGUGAGUUACAUUUGUGAUUUUUUUUUGUCUCAUAUCCCAUAAUAUCUCAUAUCUCAUAAUCAGUUAGAAAGCACAAUGGAAAAGUAUUCCACUGCCAAUGGUGUUAGAGAACUGCUCACAAAUUCAACAGAAAUGCACAGAUACCAAAGCAGAAAGGACAAUAAACAAGAGUCUUCAUGGUCAAAAGAUUAGAAGCUGCAGCUUUCAAUGGGAGGGACAGGUUCUGGACCACACUGCAGUGCUUUUCUGCUUUCUGUGCUUUCCCACUCUAGAGCUGAAGAAGGUAACGACCCCAAAAUGUCAAUAUACGUAGACCAAAAACCAGCCCCAAUAAAAGUCUGCUCUCUCUAGCCAAAGGACUACAGUAGGGCAGCCCAGCAAGACAGAAAACCUUCAGACAACCUACCCCAGCCAAACACUACCAAAAAAAGUAAAGUGAGCCAUCACCCAAUCCACAUCAGUAAAAACUAAGUGGAAAGUCCAGACUUUCACCUCAAGAGGUUGCGACAAGCUACUCCAAUACCCCUGCUGGGAUAGUGUCACAGAAGGCUAAAUAAGGAGCUGUAAUGUUGAUUCCCCUCCAGAAGUAAAGAGUCCGUACCUGCUAUUUUCAGAGAGACCACAUGGAAAGCCUAGAUUUCAACACCUACCCAGCAUUAAUGAGGUAUUCCUUCCCUUCUUUACUCUCUGGUGUCAAAGAAGCUCCAUGCAGAGUCAGAAUGUUUGGCAUUACUCCUCAGUAGGGAGGCCACCCCCACCACGGUGUUAGUGGAGACCAUGUGAGGACCAGGACUUGUACCCUGCCCAGAAGUAAUGAGUAGACCCCCCUCUACAGGAAGGCCAAAGGGCAACCUAAACUUCUACCUCUCUCUGGCAGUAAUAAAGUAGGGCCUCACUUUUCCCUGCUGAGCAAUGUCAAAAAAAAAAGCCAGCUGAAGUAAAAGCUUAUUUCUUUCUUUCUUUAUACAUAUUUUUGGAGACAGGGUCUUAUUCUGUCACCCACGCUGGAGUACAGUGGCCUCAUCAGGUCUCACUGCAGCCUCAACCUCCUGGGCUCAAGCAAUCCUCCCACCUCAGCCUCUUGAGUAGCUGAGACCACAGAUGUGCACCACCACACAUAGCUAACAUUAACAUUUUUUCUAGAGAUGGGGUCUUCCUGUGUUGCCCAGGCUGGUCUGGAACUCCUGGGCUCAAGUGAUCCUCCCACCUUGACCUCCUGGAGGGCUGGGAUUACAGGUAUGAGUCAUCACUCCAGGCUGAAGCUUUAUAUAAUAACCAGAGUCUCAUAUUACAAAAUGUCAAAGAUUCAGUCAAAAGUUACUUGAUAUCAAUGGACAAGAUCUCAAACUAAAUGAAAAAAAGACAAUUAAUAGAUGCUAACACUGAGAUAACAAAGUUGUUAGAAUCAUCUAACAAAGAUUUUAAAGCAGCUAUAAUAAAAGUGCUACUGCAAGUGAUUAUAAACAUGCUUGAGACAAAUGAAAAAGUGCUAUAAAGCUAAGAAAUAAAAUAUAUAAAUAAGAAUCAAAGAGAAAUUAUAGAACUAAAAGAUACCAUAACUGAAAUGCAAAGCUCCGUGGAUGGACUCAACAACAGAAUGGAAAAGACUGAGGAAAGAAGUAGUUUACAGGAAAUUAGAAUAGACUAGAAAAAAUGAACAAGACCCUGUGCUAAAGAGCAAAUAUUUAUGUCAUUGGAUUCCAGGAAAGAGAAAAGAAUGAAAAAGUACUUAAAUAAUGGCUUAAAAACUUCUCACAUUUUGCAAAGAUUUAAACCUACAAUUUGAGAAGCUGGGUAAACCUUAAACAGGAUAAAUCAAGGACACUCACACCAAGAAACAUAGUAAUUAAACUUCUGAUUAAGGAAGAAAAAGAAAAAUCUGGAAAGCAGCAAGAAAAAAAUGACACACUUUCUAUAUGGUAAAAGCAAUUUGAACAACAGAAGAUUUCUCAUCAGAAACUGUGGGGACCAUGAGGAAGUAACAGAUAUUUUUCAAGUGCUGAAAUAAAUCAACUGUCAAUACAAAAUGCUCUACUCAGUGAAAAUAUCUUUCAGGAAUAAAGGGGAAAUCAGGACACGCACAGACUUUUUUUAAAUUAAGAAUUUAUUGUCAGCUUAUCUCCCUAAAAGAAUGGCUAACAUUCUCCAAACACGAAGGAAAUUGAUAAGGAAUCUUGAAAUUUCAGUUAGAAACAAUGAAUAUGGCAAGCAAAAUGUAGGUCAGUACACUAAGUUUAAUUUCUCCUCUUGAAUUUUCUAAAUUAUGACUUAUGAUUGAAGCAAAAAUCAUAACAUUAUCUGAUGUAUAUGUAGAGGAAAGAUUUAAGACAGUGAUGUUAUAAAUGAGGGGAGUAAAGGAACAUGAGAUAACCACUAAUAUGACAUACCAAUAGACUAUGAUAAAUUAUGUGUCUAAUGUGAUUACUAGAAAAACCAGUUAAAAUAUAAAGAUUGACGGAGUGAAUUUAAAAACAUGACACACUAUAUGCUGUUUAUCAUAAACUCACUUUGAAGAUAAUGCCAUCGUCAGGUUGAAAUCAAAAGGAAUAAAAUAGUGUAUUAUGUAAACCAUCAAAAAGAGCAGGAAUGGCCAUAUUAAUAACAUUAAAGUCAGCUUCAGAACUAAGGAAAUUAUCAGAGAGGGACAUUAUAUAAUGAAAUAGUCGAUUUACCAAAAGAACAUAGCAAUCAUAAAUGUGCAUGAAGCAAACAACAAAGCUGGAAAAUAUAUGAAGUGAAACUGAUAGAUCUAAAAGGAGAAACAGAUAAAUCCAUUCAUUAUAGUUGGGGCCUUUAUCACCCCUCACUCAACAAUUGAUAGAACUGGACAGAAAACCAGUAAGAAUAUAAAAGAACUCAACAACAUGAGACAAUAGGAUCUAGUUGAUAUUUAUAGAACAUUCCAACAGCAGAAUACAUGUUCUUCAAGUGCUCACAGAACACACAUAUAAAGAUAGACCCUGAGCAUAAAACAAGCCUCAACAAAUUUAAAAGAACUGAAAUACUACAAGUACUUUCUCCAACCACAAAAGAACCAAACUAGAAAUAAAUAACAAUGAUAAUGGGAAAAUCACCAAACACUUGAAAACUGAACAACAAUAUUUUAUAACCCAUGGUCAUAGAGGAAAUCUCAAAAGAAAUUUUAAAAAUGCACUGAACUGAAUGAAAAUGAAAACAACAUAAAAUUUGUGAGACACAUAAAGCAGAACUGAUGGGAAAAUAUAUAGCACUAAAUGCAUGCUCUAGAAAAGAAAAGUCUUCAACCAGUAACCUAAGCUUCCACCUCAAAAACCUAAAAAAAGAAGGAAAAAUAGACCCAAUGCCAGCAGAAAGAUGCAAUAACAAAGAGUAGAACUCAAUGAAAUUGAAAACAGAUAAACACUUUAAAGAAUAAAACAAAGAGCUGGUUAUUAGAAAAGAUCAAUUAAUUGAUAAACCUCAAGCAAGACCGUCAAAAAAAAAAAAAAAA